rnacentral:rRNA from 1 species
AUUGAACGCUGGCGGCAGGCCUAACACAUGCAAGUCGAACGAGUGGCGGACGGGUGAGUACUGUCUGGGAACCUGCCUGGUGGAGGGGGAUACCUACUGGAAACGAUAGCUAAUACCGCAUACCAUCAGAUGUUCCCAGAUGGGAUUAGCUAGUAGGUGGGGUAAUGGCUCACCUAGGCGACGACCCCUAGCUGGUCUGAGAGGAUGACCAGCCACACUGGGACUGAGACACGGUCCAGACUCCUACGUGAGGCAGCAGUGGGGAAUAUUGCACAAGGGGCGCAAGCCUGAUGCAGCCAUGCCGCGUGUGUGAAGAAGGCCUUCGGGUUGUAAAGCACUUUCAGCGAGGAGGCGUUACUCGCAGAAGAAGCACCGGCUAACUCCGUGCCAGCAGCCGCGGUAAUUC